UACGUAGGGUGCGAGCGUUAAUCGGAAUUACUGGGCGUAAAGCGUGCGCAGGCGGUUGUGCAAGACAGAUGUGAAAUCCCCGGGCUUAACCUGGGAAUUGCAUUUGUGACUGCACGGCUAGAGUGUGUCAGAGGGGGGUAGAAUUCCACGUGUAGCAGUGAAAUGCGUAGAUAUGUGGAGGAAUACCGAUGGCGAAGGCAGCCCCCUGGGAUAACACUGACGCUCAUGCACGAAAAGCGUGGGGGAGCAAACAGG
rnacentral:rRNA from 1 species